rnacentral:rRNA from 1 species
GUGAGGAAUAUUGGACAAUGGGCGCAAGCCUGAUCCAGCCAUGCCGCGUGCAGGAAGACGCACCUAUGGUGUGUAAACUGCUUUUGUACGGGAAGAAACACUCCCUCGUGAGGGAGCUUGACGGUACCGUAAGAAUAAGGAUCGGCUAACUCCGUGCCAGCAGCCGCGGUAAUACGGAGGAUCCAAGCGUUAUCCGGAAUCAUUGGGUUUAAAGGGUCCGUAGGCGGUUUAAUAAGUCAGUGGUGAACGCCCAUCGCUCAACGAUGGAACGGCCAUUGAUACUGUUAGACUUGAAUUACAAGGAAGUCACUAGAAUAUGUAGUGUAGCGGUGAAAUGCUUAGAUAUUACAUGGAAUACCAAUUGCGAAGGCAGGUUACUACUUGUGGAUUGACGCUGAUGGACGAAAGCGUGGGGAGCGAACAGGAUUAGAAACCCUGGUAGUCC